rnacentral:rRNA from 1 species
ACGGAGGGUGCAAGCGUUAUCCGGAUUUACUGGGUUUAAAGGGUGCGUAGGUGGGUCUGUAAGUCAGUGGUGAAAUCUUCGAGCUUAACUCGGAAACUGCCAUUGAUACUAUAGGUCUUGAAUCAUCUGGAGGUGAGCGGAGUAUGUCAUGUAGCGGUGAAAUGCUUAGAUAUGACAUAGAACACCGAUUGCGAAGGCAGCUCACUACGGAUGUAUUGACACUGAGGCACGAAAGCGUGGGGAUCAAACAGGA